rnacentral:rRNA from 1 species
ACAAGUACCGUGAGGGAAAGUUGCAAAGCACUUUGAAGAGAGAGUUAAAGAGGACGUGAAACCGAUGAGGUGGAAACGGACAGAGCUGGCGUAUCUGGCUUGCAUUCAACCCUGGAUGCGUGGGCGCCAUGCUUUGGUUGUCCAGAUUGGCACCGCGGCUUGGUUGUCCGUGUGUUUUGGGUGCAUUUGCAGGUUGCGUGCGCCGAGGUGCUCGGUGCAGCUGCAUGAGCUCGUUGCUUGAGGCCAGCCCUUCACGGGGUCUGGUACCCGGCUCGGGGGAGUGUUGUUUGUGCUGAGUGGUAGACAGUGGCAAUGGAAUCGGGCUCUGGUGGGUGCCGAGCUGGCAGCUAGCGGCGGUCGCGUGCGACACGUGCAUGCGGUCAGUUCGGUCCUGUUUGAGCUCACAUUUAUGCCUGUCCUCGGUGUAAAAGCCGGUCAUCUGUCCGACCCGUCUUGAAACACGGACCCAGGAGUUUAGCGUGUGCGCGAGUCAUUGGGUGUUGAAAACCUAAGGGCGCAAUGAAAGUGAAGGACUCCCUUGAGGAGCUGAUGUGCGAUCUCGGUGCACUGCGGUGCCUGGGCGCAGCAUGGUCCCGUCUCGACCGCAUGCGGUGGGGCGGAGACAGAGCGUACGCGCUGAGACCCGAAAGAUGGUGAACUAUUCCUGAGCAGGAUGAAGCCAGAGGAAACUCUGGUGGAAGUCCGAAGCGAUUCUGACGUGCAAAUCGAUCGUCUGACUUGGGUAUAGGGGCGAAAGACUAAUCGAACCAUCUAGUAGCUGGUUCCUUCCGA